rnacentral:lncRNA from 1 species
ACAUUUUCCUGGAGCGGCUGGGAAAGAGGAGUCUCUCGAAAUUCAGCAACUGCUAACAGCGAGGAGGGGUUUUGAAAGGUAAAGGCCAUUAGCUUGGAGGCAGAAGACAGACCUCCCUGACUGCUGAAUUCCUGCCGGCCUGAAAUUGGAGCAUUCCAAGCUCCUCAGAUGAGUCAUAAGCCACCAAGAUUGUGAGCCUCUGGGUGCUAGCCAGGAUCACUCCCUCCGAAGUCACACCAGAGGGAGGGCUGGAGGGAGAAUCAAAUGAAAGAGAGAGGGAGAGAAAGGAAGGAAGAGAAGGAGGGAGAAUGGAAGGAUGUAUGGAUUUGGAUGUAUGGGUUCCAUUCCUUCUACCCUGGCAAAAGCUUACUCAUCCUUCAGUGUCCAUCCAAAAUGGCAUCUCUUCUUGGGCACCAUCUCCAGAGUCUCCUGCAAGCAGGUAGCUACAUCCCACAAAACAACCACCCAUCUGACCAUGCAAGUGUGUGGGGGAAUGAAGACCAGCCCAGGAAUCUGAGAUGAAUGUUUUGCUUCUUGCUCUGCCACUGACUCACAGGGUACCCCAAGCAAGUCCCUUCACCUCCUCGGUCUCAGUUUCUCCAUUUAUACUACUAAGGCAGUGGACAUGAUGGCCUCAAGUCUCAACAUUUUUAUUCCCUGAAAAGAAACUCUUGGUGCUGAGUGGUCUUCUUCUGCCCUGACAUCUCACCUUUCAAACGCUUGUCUCUUCUCACCCCACCCACCACUUAGCAUGUGCUCUUGGAGAACACCCAGGACUCAGGGUCUCUGCACACAUCAUGAGUCCAGCUCAGCAUUUGAGGUGGAAUCAGAGGAAAGGAAGGAGAGUGGGGAGAAUAGUCAGUAUUUUGGCAAGCUCAUCAUACCUUCCCCCUUUGUAUAGAAACUUCAAACCAUUUCCCUUUGAAGGCACUACCUCCUUCCCCCAGUUAUAAAUGAGUGAAGGUCUCAAGCCUGGACAACCAAAUGCACAGUGAUUGGUUCAACUCUGGACCUGUGACUCAAGCCAGACCAAGGGAGUGACAUGCAGGGCUUUGCCUGGAACUAUUCUGAAAGGGGCACUCUCUUUCUGCUGGGCUACUGAUAAUAUGUGCAUCCGUGAUAGAAGAGCCUGCCUGAUAAUAAAGCCAAUAAGGGAAGAGCAGAGCCAAGAGAUGGUGGGAGAGCAGAUGCCUGAAAAUAUCAUUUGAGCCCCUGGGUCCAGCUGCACCUGAAGCCACCACGAUCUCCUGGACUUUGCAGUUACUUGAGUUCAUAAAUACCCUUUGGCAUUAAGCCAGAUUGAGUCUUAAUGCAUAUAGAAAUAAGAGAAAUGAGAAAAGAAAUUGAAAAGAGAGACAGCAGAGAACUGAUUCUCUACUAGAGCCUCCAGAAGGAAUCAACUCUGCCAACACCUUGAUUUUGGACUUGUGGCCUUCAGAACAGUGAAAUGAUAAACAUCUGUUAUUUUAAGGUACCUAGUGUGUAACAUUCCGUCAUGACAGCCCUAGGAAAUGAAUACAGCGAGGAAAAUCCUACCAGCACAAAGGCAUGGAGGUGCCAGGAUGUCUCCUCUGCGUGAAGAGUAGAUGUAGAUGAGGCUGGAAUUAUCUAUCCUAGCUGCCCAGACCCAUGUGCCUUUGUUUUAUGUAGUUACAGCACCUAUGAUACAUAUUUGUUACCAUGUAUGUCACUAUGAACCUCCUCUGGAGGACGGAGAAGUCAAAUACCUUAAUUAUUCCAACACAAGCUUGCGUGAACAGAUAAUCAUCACUACGAGUAUAUUGUGUGCCUGCUAAGCACCACACCUGAGAUAAGCAUUUGCUGUGGUUUGAAUGUCCCCUCCAAAGCUCAUGCUAAAAUUUAAUUGCCAUUGCAACAGUGUUGCAAGGUGAGAACUUUAAGAGAUGAUCAGGUCAUGAGAACUCUGCCCUCGUGAAUGGAUUAAUACCCUUAUCGCAGUAGUGGACCCCCCUUUUCUCUUGCUGUCUGUCUCUCAUGUUAGCUUGUGCUUCCUCCUUUCACCAUGGGAUAACACAGCAAGAAGCCCCUCACCAGAUGCUGGCACCUUGCUAUUGGACUUCCGGCCUCCAGAACUGAGAAAUACAUGUCUUUUCCUUAUAAAUUACCCAGUCUGUGGUAUUCUGUUAUAGCGGCAGAAAAUGGACUAAGACGGCAUUUUGCAUACAUUAUCUGUCUUAUUAAAAAUAAUGUUUUUGCCCAGG